rnacentral:lncRNA from 1 species
GAAGGGUGCCUGAUGCAGAGCCCGUGCCGUCAGCAGGAGGUAGUUUAUCCCCAGCUUGUGUGCCACACAGAACUGUUCCACUGCAUGGAGGAAGCUCAACUGAAGAUCGAGGAGUCACAAAGAACUGAUUGAAUUCAUCAGGGCUAAAAUCUCCAAAAAUAUACUGCGGGCUGUGGAGGGCCAUGGCUGCCGGUUUCAAUGGGACUCGGCGCUCCUCCGGCUGCUCACGCUGCCUCCCCCGCCGCCGCCAUCUUCUCCCCCGCACAUACACCCAUCUAUGACUAUUUCAAUAACUCCUAUAACAGAUGGAAUUUUUGCAAGUUUUAGAAUAACAAAUAACAUUAAAAAUCGUUAUGAAUAAACAUUAAUUUACCUAAAUGCAGGUUUAGUUUUUUGCUUUAAGAAAAUACUUUUGAUGAGUUCUCUAUUUAGUAAUUGGCCUGUGUUAAAAAAGAAUUAUUUUCAAAGGUUUUUAGGUUUCUGUUUCCCCUGGGAGUUUGUUUUUCUUUCAGUGAAACAGAGAAAUACCUAGGGAACAGUUUUUUUUUUAAACAGUAACUUCAAGGGGUCUAGCAGCUGUCAUUUGCUCUUAGUAUUUCAGCUGUUCUUAAGGAAUCAGGAGUUAGACAUCAAGAUAAUCUAGAAGCUGUACUCUGGGCAUUGUGAUCUCAAAAAAAUAGCCAUGACAAUGUAAAAGGAAACUUUAUUUUUCCAGAAAAUCUGUUGAAUGGGAAUUCCAGUUCUGGAAGAUAAAGAAGGAUUUGCAUUUUUGGCCAGGACCUUUCUGAUGGCUUGGGCAGCAGUGAUACUGCUCAGUGCUGUUAAUAAAGUGAAUGGGACUGUGAACUUGAACCUCAUGCUUACAUCCUGGUCCCUACCUUUGCAAGCCUAACGUCUCUCUUCGUUCAGCUCCCUCCAUUUUCUAUUCGGCCUAUAUCCUGAGACUGUCGGGCCUGAGCUCCCUUUCUUUAGCCCCUAUCUAAAAAUUUUAGAUUACCUUGGCUCUGAAAUAUUCCAGAAAGAUGAAAUUUGAUUUUGUUAGCACAAAAACUUUAGCAUGUCAGCAUAAAAAUAUUUUAAAAUAACUUAAAUGAGAAGUUAAUGUUUGUAAUGAGUAGGACAAGCAUGGCCAUUAAUCAGUGUUAAGCAACUAAUUUUCCUGGCUCUUAUACCUGUAGUUUUCUUCUGGCCCUCAUCCCAGCCACCAGUUCCCAUCCUGACUCAUCUCUAUCUUCAUAUUACCAGCUUCUGCCUAUUUGCUGUAUUUACCUUGGAAAUUUAGGGGCAUAAAUGGAUCAGGGAUUGCCAGUGAAAUUCUGGUUUUCCAGAAUAACAGCUUAAGUAGAAAGUUUAUUUUUUAAAAUGCACAUAACUGACUAAGAAAGGCAGAGUUUUACGGUUGGUGCUUUUCUUAUGUUUUAGGUCAAGGUAACUCCUCUUAGGGGAACCAGUGUAGAGGAAAAGGGCUUCUGCGCCUGUAUAAAAACCUGAAAUAACUAGAAUUAGGAACUAGAAAAAUGGAAUCACAAAUACCUAUUGCUUUAUUGAACAUAUGUUAAUAAAUCUGAAUUAAGAAGGGAAGGGAGGAGAUGAGUCAUUAUUGAGCAAUCACUGUGAGUGAGAUGCUUUCACAGACAUUUAUUUCCAUAACUUAAUAUUGUAGGGUUGAUUUAUUAUCACUGCUAUACUAAUUAAGGAGCAAAAAGCUCAGGAAGGCUAAGUAACUCCUUGAAAGUCUCUCAAGACUUUCUUUACCUUUCAAGAAAGGUAUCCAUGGCCACUUGAUUCUGAAGCUCAUGGUCUUUCCAGUCUACUCACAUACUCGGCAGUGUUAGAGAUUAAAAGGUGCUUUCUUAAGAUAUAGACUGUUCCCAAGGAGCUCACGUCCCAGACAAAUAGAACAGGGCAGAAUUAUACACGUGGGGUGAUGGGGAAACAGUACAUAUUAAGUCUGGUGGAGUGGAGAGAGGCAUAUGAGGUGACUUGGAAGAGUGGGAGGAGUGUGGAUAGGUGAGAUGUGCACAGACACCAGGCAGGGCAACUGGAGCUGGGAAACCCAGGUGUGUUUGGGACACAGCCAGAAGUCCCUCUUGGCAGCACAUGUGUUAUGUGUAGGGAAGCAGUUAGAGAUCAAGCUGGAGAGGCAGGUUGGGCCGUACUGUGGAGAUUUUGCAUACCAUGCAGAGGAAUUGGAUUUAAUUCUCUAGGCAGUGGAGAUCCAUUGAAGGAGGGCCAUGUGUGUGCAUGUGGUUUUGUGUAGUUUUUGGUUGCUUGUUCAUUUGUUUUUAUCGUGGAAAGACACUGAUGAAAGUGGGCUUCAGUAAUAUUAAUAUGGCCAGGGGCUGGGGGAGGCAGUAGAUUAGCAUGUGUAUUGGGAAAGAAAAAAAAAACAAUAGGACAUGGCUACUGCUUUGCUUAUGGGAUUACACAUACCAAAUUAACUCCAGAUUAGAACAUGCAUACUUGCCAUGUUUUACAUUUCUAGUGCCAGGGAUUUAAUUUUUUUUAAUAAAUGAGAAAGUAAAGUUUAUUGUGUUUAAGUAUUUUUAAUGAGAUCAUGUUUUUAGUGAGAACUGGGACCAAACAGAUUUUCUGACUCCAAAUAGAUAUUUCCAUUGGAACAGAUCUGUAAGUAUACAGACAUGCAAACACAUAUUUCUUUACUGCUCAUAAUUAAGUGUCAAUUAGUCCUUAUUAGAAUGUGGGAUGUAUAAAUGUAAGAGAAUUUUCAGUUAAAAUUGACAGAUACAUUUUUUAAUUGUCCUAAAAUGGAUUUAAUUAUUUUUCUUUAAUGUUAUUUUUAUGAGAAGUGAUAUAACUUUAUUGAUAAUGCAU